AAGACCUUGCGCUUUUGGAGCGGCCGAUGCCUGAUUAGCUUGUUGGUAAGGUAAAAGCUUACCAAGGCUUCGAUCAGUAGCUGGUCUGAGAGGACGACCAGCCACACUGGGACUGAGACACGGCCCAGACUCCUACGGGAGGCAGCAGUGGGGAAUUUUGGACAAUGGGGGCAACCCUGAUCCAGCCAUGCCGCGUGAGUGAAGAAGGCCUUCGGGUUGUAAAGCUCUUUCAGCCGGAACGAAACGGUUACGGAUAACACCCGUGACUACUGACGGUACCGGAAGAAGAAGCACCGGCUAACUACGUGCCGGCAGCCGCGGUAAUACGUAGGGUGCGAGCGUUAAUCGGAAUUACUGGGCGUAAAGCGUGCGCAGGUGGUUUUGUAAGUCAGAUGUGAAAGCCCCGGGCUCAACCUGGGAACU
rnacentral:rRNA from 1 species